rnacentral:lncRNA from 1 species
CUGCAGGGAAAAAGGUUGCACUGAGUCAAUCCCCCCUUGACCACACUCCCCCAGGUGCAGCCAUGUCUCCCCUGGCACAAAACUUAAGUGGCAGAGAGAGGGAGGGACAGCAUGAGAAGUAGCUGUAGGUGUGUAGAGUCGGACCUUUAAGGAUCCCUUCCAACUCAAUGAUUCUAAGGCUCUAUGAGGCAGGAGCCUGUCCCAGGAUGCUCCCACCGUGCCCCAAUGGAGAUGUUCCCUUUGCAACCCAGAGAACUUCAGCUGCACCCAACGCAGCCAUGCUGGCAGUGAGAUGAAACCACUGCACAAAGCCAAGAACACAACUGUUUCCGUGUAGCUAAAUUACAGUAUCAAAGAGAGGGGCCCUGCCUGGAGCUGGUGGGACGCGGGGAUGUUUCCAUGCAUAUGGUGAGAUCUCCCAUCCGGAGCAAGGUCUACAUCAAUGGGAAGCUCUUCACCAGGAUGUGUUGGAAGAGCUGGUGGGAUUUGUCUGGUCUGGAGCAUCUUAGAAUCCACUGUAGACAUUUCCAGGAGGCUUUGCUCUGCUCCCCAGCUUUACUCCUCCCUACACCCCAUCAGAGUCACAUCAAAGAACACAGCCCUUUGUCUGGGCCCUGUUUGAUGUUCACUGCUAAUUUUUUUGCAUGCAGCAGUGCUUGACUCGUGCUGGUUCCCAUAAUAAACAGCCAUCGCAUUGCUCUUAAAUGACUGGG